GACAGAGGGGGCAAGCGUUGCUCGGAAUCACUGGGCGUAAAGGGCGCGUAGGCGGGAUGGCAAGUCAGUCGUGAAAUCUCUCGGCUCAACCGAGAAACGUCGGCUGAUACUGCCGUUCUUGAGGGAUGCAGAGGAGACUGGAAUUCCCGGUGUAGCGGUGAAAUGUGUAGAGAUCGGAAGGAACGCCCGUGGCGAAAGCGAGGUCCUGGACGCCUACUGACGCUGAGACGCGAAAGCCAGGGGAGCGAACGGG
rnacentral:rRNA from 1 species